AACGAACGCUGGCGGCAGGCUUAACACAUGCAAGUCGAACGAGAUCUUCGGAUCUAGUGGCAGACGGGUGAGGAACACGUGGGAACAUCCCUUUCAGUUCGGAAUAACGUUGGGAAACUAACGCUAAUACCGGAUACGUCCUUCGGGAGAAAGAUUUAUCGCUGAAAGAUUGGCCCGCGUCUGGUUAGCUAGUUGGUGAGGUAAUGGCUCACCAAGGCUACGAUCAGUAGCUGAUCUGAGAGGAUGAUCAGCCACAUUGGGACUGAGACACGGCCCAAACUCCUACGGGAGGCAGCAGUGGGGAAUAUUGGACAAUGGGCGCAAGCCUGAUCCAGCCAUGCCGCGUGAGUGAUGUCGGCCUUCGGGUUGUAAAGCUCUUUUGUCCGGGAAGAUAAUGACUGUACCGGAAGAAUAAGCCCCGGCAAACUUCGUGCCAGCCGCCGCAGUAA
rnacentral:rRNA from 1 species